rnacentral:misc_RNA from 1 species
UUUCCGUUGGUGAACCAGCGGAGGGAUCAUUACUGGAAUCGCAAGAUCCCACAACCCUGUGAACCUACCGAAACGUUGCCUCGGCGGGUGCCCGGCCUCUGCGCCGGGCGCUGCGCCCGCCGGCGGCCCCCUACUCUGUCUCUGCAGCGUGGCAUCUCAGAGUCCCAGAAAACAAGUCAAAACUUUCAACAACGGAUCUCUUGGCUCUA